GACGAACGCUGGCGGCGUGCUUAACACAUGCAAGUCGAACGGAAAGGCCCUGCUUUUGUGGGGUGCUCGAGUGGCGAACGGGUGAGUAACACGUGAGUAACCUGCCCUUGACUUUGGGAUAACUUCAGGAAACUGGGGCUAAUACCGGAUAGGAGCUCCUGCUGCAUGGUGUGGGUUGGAAAGUUUCGGCGGUUGGGGAUGGACUCGCGGCUUAUCAGCUUGUUGGUGGGGUAGUGGCUUACCAAGGCUUUGACGGGUAGCCAGCCUGAGAGGGUGACCGGCCACAUUGGGACUGAGAUACGGCCCAGAAUCCUACGGGAGGCAGCAGGGGGGAAUAUUGCACAAUGGGCGGAAGCCUGAUGCAGCAACGCCGCGUGCGGGAUGACGGCCUUCGGGGUGUAAACCGCUUUCGCCUGUGACGAAGAGUGAGUGACGGUAAUGGGUAAAGAAGCACCGGCUAACUACGUG
rnacentral:rRNA from 1 species